rnacentral:rRNA from 1 species
CCUGGUGCUUAUUGCGCGGGGGAUACACCUCUUCCAUUCCGAACAGAGUCGUUAAGUCCCGCAGCGCCGAUGGUACUGCCCUUUGUGGUGGGAGAGUAGGACGGUGCCAGGA